AAGUCGUAACAAGGUUUCCGUAGGUGAACCUGCGGAAGGAUCAUUACUGAAUUUUUAAUGCCUUGGUUGUUGCUGGCCUUUUAUUAGGCAUGUGCACGCCUCGGUUAUUUCCAAAUUCUUUACACCUCUGUGCACUUUACAUGGAUUUUUAUAUUUUCUUAUUGAUGGACGUUCGAGCUUGCCACCGCGAGUUUGACGAAAGUCAAUUGAAGAUUUAAAGUCUGUGGUUUACACAUUUAUACGCUUCAGUUUAAAGAAUGUCAUACUCGCGUUUAACGCAAUUAAAUAAUACAACUUUCAGCAACGGAUCUCUUGGCUCUC
rnacentral:misc_RNA from 1 species